rnacentral:lncRNA from 1 species
GUGGAAGUGAAUCUUGGAAGAAUAAGAGAGGAAAAGGAAAGUGGAAGAACAAUAAGCAAGAUGGCAACAAUCCUAAGGGAGAGAAUCAGAAGAAAGAAGGUGACAACAAUGGAAAGGGAAAGAAGAAAUCUAAAGAAGACAUUCAGUGUUACAAUUGCCAAAGAUAUGGUCAUUAUGCAGAUGAAUGUAAUAAUCCUAAAGUGCCUAGAAAGAGAAAUGAAG